UCUAAAGUAAAUUUAUAAAAUACAUAUAAUGAGAACUAAAAGGACGCGGUAACCUUGACCGUGAUAAUGUAGCAUAAUCACUCGCCAUUUAAUUGGUGGAUAGUAUGAAUGGUUGAACGAAUAUCCCACUGUCUUAAAGAAAACUAAAAGAAAUUGAAAUAAUAGUUAAGAUGCUAUUUUAAACUGUAAGACGAAAAGACCCUAUAGAGCUUAACUAUAAUCUCUAUUAUUUAAACAAAUAAUUAAUUUGUAUACCAUAGAGAUUGGUAGUUUAGUUGGGGCGACUAUCUUUUAAAUUAAACAAAGAUAAAGCAAUGUUAAUAAAAGAUUUAUUGUAUAAUUAAAUUUAUUUAACAAUUAUAAAAAUAGGCUAUAAUGGACCCCG
rnacentral:rRNA from 1 species